UGCCCCGUGGCUGAGUUGGUUACAGCGUCCGACUGUUACCGAAUGCUUCAGUUCUGACAUCGGAAGGUCGUGAGUUCGAGCCUCACCGGGGCAG